rnacentral:rRNA from 1 species
UACGAAGGGGGCUAGCGUUGCUCGGAAUCACUGGGCGUAAAGGGCGCGUAGGCGGCGUUUUUAAGUCGGGGGCGAAAGCCUGUGGCUCAACCACAGAAUGGCCUCGAUACUGGGACGCUUGAGUAUGGUAGAGGUUGGUGGAACUGCGAGUGUAGAGGUGAAAUUCGUAGAUAUUCGCAAGAACACCGGUGGCGAAGGCGGCCAACUGGACCAUUCUGACGCUGAGGCGCGAAAGCGUGGGGAGCAAACAGG